rnacentral:rRNA from 1 species
GAUGAACGCUAGCGGCAGGCCUAAUACAUGCAAGUCGGACGGGAUUCAGGAGCUUGCUUCUGAUGAGAGUGGCGCACGGGUGCGUAACACGUAUGUAACCUACCUUUAUCAGGGGGAUAGCCUCUCGAAAGAGAGAUUAAGCCCGCAUAAAAUCACAGCACAGCAUUGUGUAAUGAUCAAAUAUUUAUAGGAUAAAGAUGGGCAUGCGGAACAUUAGCUAGAUGGCGGGGUAACGGCCCACCAUGGCGACGAUGUUUAGGGGAUCUGAGAGGAUGGCCCCCCACACUGGUACUGAGACACGGACCAGACUCCUACGGGAGGCAGCAGUAAGGAAUAUUGGUCAAUGGGCGGGAGCCUGAACCAGCCAUGCCGCGUGCAGGAAGACGGCCCUACGGGUUGUAAACUGCUUUUAUACGGGAAUAAACCCAGAUACGUGUAUCUGGCUGAAUGUACUGUAAGAAUAAGGAUCGGCUAACCCCGUG